GGCUCAAAUUUGUUCCGAAUUUCAAGUGGCAAACUACUCGAGAUCCAUGGCAUUGGCUCGUAUCUCGUGGUACGUAUUUUCGUCAAUGUCGGUUCACGUAUUCGAAGCUAGCAGGAGAGUUGUUAGAUAUAGAACAAGUUCUACCGUGUUUACGUGCAAGUAAGCAAUCUUUUAUGUCAUGUUGGAUUAUUAUCUCGAAUAUAACGCCUUCUUAUAAGAAUAAUGCCGUCAUUUCGAUAUUUUUCGCGAGGAGCUGCAAAAAAACGAAUUCCUUCAUGACGAAACUAGACUGCUAGCCCACUCAAUCGUUCAAGAAAGGAACAAGCAAUGUCACCAGCCUAAUGCCAAGUAGGAAAUCACCUAUGCUCUUUGCUCCCGAAAAGAUUCGACUUGACCAAGUCCAUAUCAGAUUGAAACUGGAUUGGUCAUUACACUCUUAGAAAAACCUUUGGAUCUGUCCCCAAUAUAAUUGCCACGAAGAAAGUUUGUAAAAAGCUAGCAGUGAUUCAUACUCUGCAACUUUUUGCUGUCAGUCUUGGCAAUGGACUAGGAGAGAUUCUUAAUCAGUCAAUACUUGCUCAGAAUCAUCCACCAUUCUCUGUCCAAAGGCAGAGGAUUCAAUGGAUCAGUAUGGGUUGCCCCAACCGAUGUGCUGUACACUGACACAAACUGCUGCCAUGAGAAUGGUCCAUCAACCUAUAAGCUGCUUGUUGAGCAGCCAUGACCUGCUCACUAACACAAAAAUGAUCUUCCUGUGCAAUCUAUCUGAGGCCUAGUGUAGUUGCUGGUUCAAAAAUAAGACUUGGCUCAAAAGGGGUCACAAUGCUUCUGCAAAGGGAGAGUUUUGUACUGUAGCCUAAUGAUAACCAUAACUCCACUGCCUGUGCCAUGACCUUGUGAAUAUUUUGACCCAGAAAUCAGGAAAGGUUACAAUUUGUAGAAGAGCAGGUAAGCCUAGCUCACAAGCACCAGUAGGCCAUAGUUCCUCCAGCAGCAGUAGUUGUGCCCCAGUGAGCCAUUCCUUUGUCUGAACCACAGCAUGUCUUUAGCUCACUAGUCUUCAUCCUGAGCUCUGCAGAUGACCCUUGAACCUCUGCUUCGCAUCACCAAAGACUCCUGGAAGGAGGAAGUAGAAUCAAAGACCAGAAGACAUACUCCUGCAGAUUUUUCAAGCAGGCAAAAGCUUCAGAUGGGCAUUUCCCAUAAUAUGGGUACCAAUAUUGCCCUAACGAUCCAAGUGCCCCACCUCCUGAAACUGGGAAAUAUGUUUAGAGGCAGGAGCAGGAGAAUCGUCUUCUAGAGGGAAUGAACAAAAUAAACUGAGUUUUGUAUUAUUGUACAUAUUUGAAUUAGUUGUUUAUAGUCUUAUCUUUGAGUUGUAUUGUAUCCUAAUGCACAAAAAAUGUGUUUAUCUUGUUCCCAA